ACACAUGCAAGUCGAGCGGCAGCGACAAGAUUGAAUCUUUGGGGGAUUUGUUGGGCGGCGAGGGGUGGACGGGUGAGUAAUGACUAGGAAAUUGCCCUGAUGUGGGGGAUAACCAUUGGAAACGAUGGUUAAUACCGCAUGAUGCCUUCGGGCCAAAGAGGGGGACCUUCGGGCUCUCUCGAGUCAUGAUAUGCCUAGGUGGGAUUAGGUAGUUGGUGAGGUAAGGGCUCACCAAGGCGACGAUUCCUAGCUGGUCUGAGAGGAUGAUCAGCCAUACUGGAACUGAGACACGGUCCAUACUACUACGGGAGGCAGCAGUGGGGAAUAUUGCACAAUGGGCGCAAGGAUGAA
rnacentral:rRNA from 1 species